rnacentral:rRNA from 1 species
AAAUUGAAGAGUUUGAUCAUGGCUCAGAUUGAAUGCUGGCGGCAGGCCUAACACAUGCAAGUCGAACGGUAACAGGAAACAGCUUGCUGUU